GUGCAGCAGUCGCGAAUUUUUCUCAAUGGGGGAAACCCUGAAGGAGCGACGCCGCGUGGAGGAUGAAGGCUUUCGGGUUGUAAACUCCUGUCAUUUGAGAACAAGUGGCCGAACGUAACUACUUCGGCCUUGAUAGUAUCAGAAGAGGAAGGGACGGCUAACUCUGUGCCAGCAGCCGCGGUAAUAUAGAGGUCUCAAGCGUUGUUCGGAUUCAUUGGGCGUAAAGGGUGCGCAGGUGGCGCCGUAAGUCAGGUGUGAAAUUUCGGAGCUUAACUCCGAAACUGCAUUUGAUACUGCGGUGCUUGAGGACUGGAGAGGAGACUGGAAUUUACGGUGUAGCAGUGAAAUGCGUAGAGAUCGUAAGGAAGACCAGUGGCGAAGGCGGGUCUCUGGACAGUUCCUGACACUGAGGCACGAAGGCCAGGGGAGCAAACGGGAUUAGAUACCCGUGUAGU
rnacentral:rRNA from 1 species